rnacentral:rRNA from 1 species
UAUCUCUGUAGAGUCUGCAUAUCAAUAAGCGGAGGAAAAGAAACUAACAAGGAUUCCCCUAGUAACGGCGAGUGAAGCGGGAAGAGCUCAAAUUUGAAAUCUUCAAGGUUUGACCUUGACGAAUUGUAGUUUAAAGAAGUGUUUUCGGUUAGAGGAGUAGUAAAAGUUCUUGGAAUAGGACAUCAUAGAGGGUGAGAAUCCCGUAUUUGACUAUUCUUUCUAGCUUUGUGAUACACUUUCAAAGAGUCGGAUUGUUUGGGAAUGCAGUCCAAAAUGGGUGGUAAAUUUCAUCUAAAGCUAAAUAUUGGCGAGAGACCGAUAGCGAACAAGUACCGUGAGGGAAAGAUGAAAAGAACUUUGAAAAGAGAGUUAAACAGUACGUGAAAUUGUCAAAAGGGAAGCGUUUGACACCAGUGUUGUUUUUCUCGAAAAUCAAUUAAAAAUUGAUUCAUGCCAGGUUGUAUUGACCUUAUCAGCUUGCAAUUUGGUUUUGGGUCUCUUUUUGAUGCACUUUUCGGUUAACAAGUCAACAUCAAUUUCCUUUGCUGUAAAAAGGUAAGAGGAAGGUGGCUUCAAUUUCGGUUGAAGUGUUUAUAGCCUUUUAUCUCUGCAGUCGGGGAGAUUGAGGUCUGCAGCGUAGAUCCUUCGGGGCUAGAUACAUUUAUGCUAAGUUAUAGCUUUUCAUAGACAACUUGUUGACUAUGUCUAGUCAUGUAGCUUACUCGUAAGUGCUAUUUUACCUACGCUUAGGAUGUUGAAGACUCUACAGAGAUA